UACGUAGGUCCCGAGCGUUGCCCGGAUUUAUUGGGCGUAAAGCGAGCGCAGGUGGUUUAUUAAGUCUGGUGUAAAAGGCAGUGGCUCAACCAUUGUAUGCAUUGGAAACUGGUAGACUUGAGUGCAGGAGAGGAGAGUGGAAUUCCAUGUGUAGCGGUGAAAUGCGUAGAUAUAUGGAGGAACACCGGUGGCGAAAGCGGCUCUCUGGCCUGUAACUGACACUGAGGCUCGAAAGCGUGGGGAGCAAACAGG
rnacentral:rRNA from 1 species